GACGAACGCUGGCGGCGUGCUUAACACAUGCAAGUCGAACGGAAAGGCCCUGCUUUUGUGGGGUGCUCGAGUGGCGAACGGGUGAGCAACACGUGAGUAACCUGCCCUUGACUUUGGGAUAACUUCAGGAAACUGGGGCUAAUACCGGAUAGGAGCUCCUGCUGCAUGGUGGGGGUUGGAAAGUUUCGGCGGUUGGGGAUGGACUCGCGGCUUAUCAGCUUGUUGGUGGGGUAGUGGCUUACCAAGGCUUUGACGGGUAGCCGGCCUGAGAGGGUGACCGGCCACAUUGGGCCUGAGGUACGGCCCAGACUCCUACGGGAGGCAGCAGUGGGGAAUAUUGCACAAUGGGCGGACGCCUGAUGCAGCAACGCCGCGUGCGGGAUGACGGCCUUCGGGUUGUAAACCGCUUUCGCCUGUGACGAAGCGUGAGUGACGGUAAUGGGUAAAGAAGCACCGGCUAACUACGUG
rnacentral:rRNA from 1 species